rnacentral:rRNA from 1 species
GCAUAAUAAUUUGCCUUUUAAUUAAAGGCUUGUAUGAAUGGAUUUUCGAGAAUAUAACUGUCUCUUUAUAUUAGAUAAAAAUUAAUUAAAAGGUGAAGAAGCCUUUAUAAUAAUAAAAGACAAGAAGACCCUAUCGAGCUUUAUAUAGUUGUUAUAUUUUAUGAGUAUAUGUAUUUAAUUAUUUCUUUUAUAUUUGGUUGGGGCGACUAAGGAAAAUAUAAAUCUUCCUUUAUUUUUUUGAAAAUAAUUCAUUUAAUUGAUCCAUAAUGAUUGAUAGAAAUAGUUACCGUAGGGAUAACAGGCUAAUCUUAUUUGAGAGUUCAUAUUGAUAUUAAGGAUUGGCACCUCGAUGUUGGCUUAGAAUAUCCUAUAAAUGCAGCAGUUUAUAAGGGUUGGUUUGUUCAACCAUUAAAA